UACUUUUAACAGUGGUCACCUUGU
rnacentral:piRNA from 2 species